GCCCGAGUGGUGGAAUGGUAGACGCAGCGGAUUCAAAAUCCGCCGCCGCAAGGCGUGCGAGUUCGAGUCUCGCCUCGGGCACCA
rnacentral:tRNA from 1 species